AGCUUAACGUGUGGGAAUUGCUGGAGAUACUAUUAGACUUGAGACCGGGAGAGGUUAGAGGUACUCCCAGGGUAGAGGUGAAAUUCUGUAAUCCUGGGAGGACCGCCUGUUGCGAAGGCGUCUAACUGGAACGGUUCUGACGGUGAGGGACGAAAGUUAGGGGCGCGAACCGGAUUAGAUACCCGGGGUAGUCCUAACUGUAAACGAUGCGGACUUGGUGUUGGGUGGCUUUGAGCUGCUUCAGUGCCGAAGGGAAGCUGUUAAGUCCGCCGCCUGGGAAGUACGGUCGCAAGACUGAAACUUAAGGAAUUGGCGGGGGAGCACCACAACGCGUGGAGCCUGCCGGUUUAAUUGGAUUCAACGCCGGACAUCUCACCAGAGGCGACAGCUGUAUGAUAGCCAGGUUGAUGACUUUGCUUGACUAGCUGAGAAGUGGUGCAUGG
rnacentral:rRNA from 1 species